AUGUAGUAUAAUGGAUACCGCGUUGGACUUCUAAUCCAAAGGUCAUGGAUUCGAAUUCCAUCUAGGAUU